rnacentral:rRNA from 1 species
UGAGUAACCUGCCCUUCACUCUGGGAUAACUCCGGGAAACCGGGGCUAAUACUGGAUAUGACUCGAACAGGCAUCUGUUUCGGGUGGAAAGAUUUAUUGGUGGAGGAUGGACUCGCGGCCUAUCAGCUUGUUGGUGAGGUAAUGGCUCACCAAGGCGACGACGGGUAGCCGGCCUGAGAGGGUGACCGGCCACACUGGGACUGAGACACGGCCCAGACUCCGUACGGGAGCA